rnacentral:rRNA from 1 species
UUAUUUGAAACAGGAUACAACCUCUAACACUGGGUAAAUUACAGUAACCCAAACAAAGUAGGCCUAAAAGCAGCCACCUUUCAAAAAGCGUCAUAGCUUUACCUCCCUUACACCCAAUUAAUAAAAUCUCCAUUAACCCUUCACCAGUACUGAACUAUUUUAUAUCUUUAUAAAAAUAAUUAUGCUAGAACUAGUAACAAGAAUAUUGUCCUUCUCCUAAUGCAAGUAUAAAUCAAAAUGACACCCAAUGAUAAUUAACGUAGAUACAUAAAGUAUAGUAACAAAUACCAAGAAAAUUCUAUAAUUUCAAACGUCAACCUUACACCAGAGCAUUACAGGAAAGAUUAAAAGAGAAAGAAGGAACUCGGCAAACUUCAGCCCCGCCUGUUUACCAAAAACAUCGCCUCUUGAUUUCCAUAAGAGGUCCAGCCUGCCCAGUGACAAAGUUCAACGGCCGCGGUAACCUAACCGUGCAAAGGUAGCAUAAUCACUUGUUCUCUAAAUAGGGACUCGUAUCAAUGGCAUCACGAGGGCUUCACUGUCUCCUUUCUCUAAUCAGUGAAACUGAUCUCCCCGUGAAGAAGCGGGGAUUCUUCU